GGCUCCACACCCAGGUGGCACAGGGAUGGGGGGCUCAGAUGCAGAGGGGCCCCCUCUACUAAUGGCAGCAGGCAAGGGAUGUUGGAGGCCAAGCUCAUUCCUGGGGUAGGCAAAGGCUGAGGCAUGGAGGUGGGGGGUGGGGAGCAGCGUCUCGGCCGCUCACUCCUCAGGGUUCUGGGCCCUGGACGUUGCCAUGGCCACGGAGGGUAGAGGGUGCUGUAUGCCUGCCAGCUUCCACCCAGAACCCUCCCCAAGACAAGCUCCCCAUGGGGUGUCCAUGCUAUGGCUUUCACCGACCAGACGAUGCUGCCAGGAAGCUGGGAGGAAGGGGCAGGCAGGUUCCGACCCCAGAGCAGGAGGGAAGACGGGCAGGGCGCCCACUACAUGGCAUGUUCCUGCUCCUGGGGCACCACACUGCCCCGCUGUGAGGACUCCAGCCCGCCCCAGAAGCCGAGGUUUCUCCUGAGCGAGGUGAGCACCUGUACCUGGAGGUUGGAGACAGGGGCAGGGCUGGCAGCCAGGGCUGCGGUAGCCAUGGUGCGGUUCAGCAGCGGAUUGGGUGGCGUGCUGCUGGGCGGGUGUGUGGCCUUCCAAUAGGCUUCCAAGUACUCCGCCAGAUGCUCGCAGGCAUCCUCC
rnacentral:lncRNA from 1 species